rnacentral:rRNA from 1 species
GGAAUUUUCCGCAAUGGGCGAAAGCCUGACGGAGCAACGCCGCGUGAGGGAUGAAGGCCUCUGGGCUGUAAACCUCUUUUAUCAAGGAAGAAGAUCUGACGGUACUUGAUGAAUAAGCCACGGCUAAUUCCGUGCCAGCAGCCGCGGUAAUACGGGAGUGGCAAGCGUUAUCCGGAAUUAUUGGGCGUAAAGCGUCCGCAGGCGGCCUCGUAAGUCUGUUGUUAAAGCGUGGAGCUUAACUCCAUUUAAGCAAUGGAAACUGUGAGGCUUGAGUGUGGUAGGGGCAGAGGGAAUUCCCGGUGUAGCGGUGAAAUGCGUAGAUAUCGGGAAGAACACCAGUGGCGAAGGCGCUCUGCUGGGCCAUAACUGACGCUCAUGGACGAAAGCCAGGGGAGCGAAAGGGAUUAGAUACCCCAGUAGUC